rnacentral:lncRNA from 1 species
CACCAUGUGGUGGGUGUCUUUCCAUUUCCCAGCAGAGGGCACUAAGACUGAUGGAAGAAACACAUCUGAUCCCAAGUGCAACUCAAAGACAAGUCUGACUGAUUACAAAGUUCUACUUUUCCCAGCAUGGUAGCCAACAACCUAAGUGGAUUUAAGGAGGCAUUGGAUGACAUGAGAAGGUGGAAAACAAAGGUUCCGGAACUCACCAGUUCACAGCUUCUCUGGCAAUAGUCUCACCUCCCUCUUGGACCUUUCUCCAGCUCAUGAGUGAAGCCAAGUCUUCAGUGGUUCCCAGGAAAACAGUGGAGGUAUGGUGUUGAACUCUGCUAGCAAUGCUGGAAGUCAAGCAGAACAAUACACACCUGUCAGAGAGGAUAUGACCUUUAGGGUGUGUGACCCAGGAGGAAACCUGGCAAGAUACAGAGCCCCAGAAACUACUGCCUGAAGCAAGACAAUGGACUUUCAAAAGAAAAUGUCAGCAUUAAUAGACAGCCACACUAGAAGAGAAAGAUAGUACCAUUUCAAGGUUAUUUGAAGUUCAUCUCUACCUUUUAAGUGGAGUCCCAGGACUGGAAAUUCAUAAAUAUUUGCUCUGGGAGCAAGUGACCACAUCCAUUCCAAGAUGAAGGAUAAGUAUGCAAAUAUGUAUAUCCAGAUGUUGUUGCAACCUUGUAUGCCUCACCUGGGUGGUCAGUAAUUUUUAGAAGAAAUAUACAAGUGGUUUGACAUCACAGAAAUUUGCUCAACUUUCCUUAGGAUAGCAGCGUCCUUUUAUUUCACAGCUGUAUGUUUGUUCUUGUCUGUCUCUGCUCACUCCAAAAAAGUUUUUAAAAGGUUUGAUUUGUGUUUUUAAUAACAUUGUUAGAACAUCUAUAGAUUUACAGAAAAUUUAUGAAAAAAUACAAAAAAAAUUUUCAUGUGCUUAUUAAUAUCCAG